rnacentral:ncRNA from 1 species
GUCAAGUUGCUUAUAGAAUGCUGACGACUAUUUUCCACUACAUAAGUGACGGGAGGUGCGACUGCAAGACCCACCCGUCGAGUAGGGACGAAAGUCAGCCUUAGUGAUCCGACGGUGCCGAGUGGAAGGGCCGUCGCUCAA